rnacentral:rRNA from 1 species
AUUGAACGCUGGCGGCAGGCUUAACACAUGCAAGUCGAGCGAGAGGCGGACGGGUGAGUAAUGUCUGGGAAACUGCCUGGUGGAGGGGGAUAAGUACUGGAAACGGUAGCUAAUACCGCAUAGCAUCAGCUGUGCCGAGUUGGGAUUAGCUAGUAGGUGGGGUAAUGGCUCACCAAGGCGACGAUCCCUUGCUGGUCUGAGAGGAUGACCAGCCACACUGGAACUGAGACACGGUCCAGACUCCUACGGGAGGCAGCAGUGGGGAAUAUUGCACAAUGGGCGCAAGCCUGAUGCAGCCAUGCCGCGUGUGUGAAGAAGGCCUUCGGGUUGUAAAGCACUUUCAGCGAGGAGGCGUUACUCGCAGAAGAAGCACCGGCUAACUCCGUGCCAGCAGCCGCGGUAAUUC